GCCUGGCGUGGUGGCGGGCACCUGUAGUCCCAGCUACUCAGGAGGCUGAGGCAGGAGAAUGGCGUGAACCUGGGAGACGGAGCUUGCAGUGAGCCAAGAUUGUGCCACUGCACUCCAGUCUGGGNNNNNNNNNNUUUUUUUUUUUUUUUUUGAGACGGAGCCUCGCUCUGUCGCCCAGGCUGGAGUGCAGAGGCGCGAUCUCGGCUCACUGCAAGCUCCGCCUCCCUGGUUCACGCCAUUCUCCUGCUUCAG
rnacentral:SRP_RNA from 1 species